GAUGAACGCUGGCGGCGCGCCUAACACAUGCAAGUCGAACGGUUAAAGCAUCUUCGGAUGUGUAUAAAGUGGCGAACGGCUGAGUAACGCGUGGGCAACCUGCCCUUUGCACUGGGAUAGCCUCGGGAAACCGAGGUUAAUACCGGAUACUCCAUAUCCAUCGCAUGAUAGAUAUGGGAAAGCUCCGGCGGCAAAGGAUGGGCCCGCGGCCUGUUAGCUAGUUGGUGGGGUAGUGGCCUACCAAGGCAAUGAUGGGUAGCCGGGUUGAGAGACCGACCGGCCAGAUUGGGACUGAGACACGGCCCAGACUCCUACGGGAGGCAGCAGUGGGGAAUCUUGCACAAUGGGCGAAAGCCUGAUGCAGCGACGCCGCGUGCGGGAUGAAGGCCUUCGGGUUGUAAACCGCUUUCAGCAGGGACGAGGCCGCAAGGUGACGGUACCUGCAGAAGAAGCCCCGGCUAACUACGUGCCAGCCGCCGCGGUAA
rnacentral:rRNA from 1 species